CAGUAGCCGCGGUAAAACAGAGGGUGCGAGCGUUAAUCUGAUUUACUGGGCGUAAAGCGUGCGUAGGCGGCUUCUUAAGUCGGAUGUGAAAUCCCUGAGCUUAACUUAGGAAUUGCAUUCGAUACUGGGAAGCUAGAGUAUGGGAGAGGAUGGUAGAAUUCCAGGUGUAGCGGUGAAAUGCGUAGAGAUCUGGAGGAAUACCGAUGGCGAAGGCAGCCAUCUGGCCUAAUACUGACGCUGAGGUACGAAAGCAUGGGGAGCAAACAGGAUUAGAUACCCCUGUAGUCCCUGUCUCUUAUAA
rnacentral:rRNA from 1 species